rnacentral:RNase_MRP_RNA from 1 species
GAACACGAUUUAGAAUUGCAGAGUCAAGUGGAUUCUCGAAAGGGAAUGGCUUGGGGAAAUUCCCCGGACACCAGGGUAGAGAGUACCAGCGUUGAUUCGCGGCCCCCUCGCUAUGCAGCCUUUGUGGGCGACGAAGGAUAUCUCUUUAGAGACGUCUGGAGCUUCUACGGUGAAUUUGGCGAGGACUGAUUGUCUGAAUAAAAGUUAUGCAAUUGGCUUCAUGAUAUGGCAGAGUCGUGCUGUCUUCAUGUUUGAGCUAACUCGACGGGGAUUACUCAAAUCGUGUU